GUGCCAGAAGCCUCGGUAAUACGGAGGGUGCGAGCGUUAAUCGGAAUUACUGGGCGUAAAGGGCGCGUAGGCGGUCGCGCAAGUCGGGUGUGAAAGCCCCGGGCUCAACCUGGGAAUUGCAUUCGAUACUGCGUAACUAGAGUCUGGUAGAGGGAAGCGGAAUUCCGCAUGUAGCGGUGAAAUGCGUAGAUAUGCGGAGGAACACCAGUGGCGAAGGCGGCUUCCUGGACCAAGACUGACGCUGAGGCGCGAAAGCGUGGGGAGCAAACAGGAUUAGAUACCCUGGUAGUCCACGCCCUAAACGAUGAGGACUAGACGUUGGGGGGAUAAAACCCUUUAGUGUCGCAGCUAACGCGUGAAGUCCUCCGCCUGGGGAGUACGGCCGCAAGGUUGAAACUUAAAGGAUUAGUACGGA
rnacentral:rRNA from 1 species